rnacentral:rRNA from 1 species
AAUCAUUAGCCUCUUAAUUAGAGGCUAGAAUGAACGGUUUAACAUUUCCUAAACUUUUUUAAAAAUUUUAAACAAAUUUAUACUAAAUAUAAAAAUAUAUUUAUACACUAACUAGACGACAAGACCCUUUCAAACUUUACUGAAGUUUAGCUGGGGUAGCUCAAUAAUUAAUAUCUUAUUAUUUUUUUAAUAAAAAGACCCAAUUCAAAUUGAUUUAAUGAAUAAGUUACUGAAGGGAUAACAGCAUAAUAAAUUUAUAUAGCUCUUAUUUAAAAAUUAGUUUAUGACCUCGAUGUUGAAUUAUUUUACUUCUUCACGCAAGAGUAAAGAAAGUAGGUCUGUUCGACCUUUAAAUUUU